AGCGAACGCUGGCGGCAGGCUUAACACAUGCAAGUCGAGCGGGCAUCCUUGUGGUGUCAGCGGCAGACGGGUGAGUAACGCGUGGGAACGUGCCCUUCGGUUCGGAAUAACUCAGGGAAACUUGAGCUAAUACCGGAUACGUGCGAGAGCAGAAAGGUUUAUCUGCCGAAGGAUCGGCCCGCGUCCGAUUAGCUAGUUGGUGAGGUUACGGCUCACCAAGGCGACGAUCAGUAGCUGGUCUGAGAGGAUGAUCAGCCACACUGGGACUGAGACACGGCCCAGACUCCUACGGGAGGCAGCAGUGGGGAAUAUUGGACAAUGGGGGCAACCCUGAUCCAGCCAUGCCGCGUGAGUGAUGACGGCCUUAGGGUUGUAAAGCUCUUUUCUCCGGGACGAUAAUGACGGUACCGGAGGAAUAAGCCCCGGCUAACUUCGUG
rnacentral:rRNA from 1 species